GAUGAACGCUGGCGGCGUGCCUAAUACAUGCAAGUCGAGCGAACGGACGAGAAGCUUGCUUCUCUGAUGUUAGCGGCGGACGGGUGAGUAACACGUGGAUAACCUACCUAUAAGACUGGGAUAACUUCGGGAAACCGGAGCUAAUACCGGAUAUAUUUUGAACCGCAUGGUUCAAAAGUGAAAGACGGUCUUGCUGUCACUUAUAGAUGGAUCCGCGCUGCAUUAGCUAGUUGGUAAGGUAACGGCUUACCAAGGCAACGAUGCAUAGCCGACCUGAGAGGGUGAUCGGCCACACUGGAACUGAGACACGGUCCAGACUCCUACGGGAGGCAGCAGUAGGGAAUCUUCCGCAAUGGGCGAAAGCCUGACGGAGCAACGCCGCGUGAGUGAUGAAGGUCUUCGGAUCGUAAAACUCUGUUAUUAGGGAAGAACAUAUGUGUAAGUAACUGUGCACAUCUUGACGGUACCUAAUCAGAAAGCCACGGCUAACUACGUG
rnacentral:rRNA from 1 species